rnacentral:rRNA from 1 species
GGGGAAUUUUGGACAAUGGGCGAAAGCCUGAUCCAGCCAUGCCGCGUGAGUGAAGAAGGCCUUCGGGUUGUAAAGCUCUUUUAGUCGGAAAGAAAGAGUUGCAAUGAAUAAUUGUGAUUUAUGACGGUACCGACAGAAAAAGCACCGGCUAACUACGUGCCAGCAGCCGCGGUAAUAAGUAGGGUGCGAGCGUUAAUCGGAAUUACUGGGCGUAAAGGGUGCGCAGGCGGUCUUGCAAGUCAGAUGUGAAAGCCCCGGGCUUAACCUGGGAAUUGCGUUUGAAACUACAAUGCUAGAGUGCAGCAGAGGGGAGUGGAAUUCCAUGUGUAGCAGUGAAAUGCGUAGAGAUGUGGAAGAACACCGAUGGCGAAGGCAGCUCCCUGGGUUGACACUGACGCUCAUGCACGAAAGCGUGGGGAGCAAACA